AGGAGCUUAGUAUAAAGGUUAGUAUAAUGAUCUUCAAAAUCAUUUGUGGUUGUUCGAUUCGACCAGCUCCUG
rnacentral:tRNA from 2 species